CAGGACGCCGGGAUCAUGCCCUGGGCCGAAGGCAGGUGCCAAACCACUGAGCCACCCAGGCAUCCCCUCUAUUCCCUCCUUUUUUUUUUUAAUAGCCAAAAAAAAAAUAAUAAUUGCCUUCCAUAUUGUCACUUCAUUUUAUGCAGGACUUUUGUAUCCUUAAUUACUUCUCCUUGACUUUGAAUUUGGGGUUGUAUAUAUUUUUUUAAAUUUUUAUUUAUUUAUGAUAGUCACACAGAGAGAGAGAGAGAGAGAGGCAGAGACACAGGCAGAGGGAGAAGCAGGCUCCAUGCACCGGGAGCCCGACGUGGGAUUCGAUCCCGGGUCUCCAGGAUCGCGCCCUGGGUCAAAGGCAGGCGCCAAACCGCUGCGCCACCCAGGGAUCCCCUGAAUAUUAUUUUCUAUACCGGUAACUGAAUCGCCUAAGUCGGUGGCAUCUCCACCCCCGCAGCCUCAUUCUCCCAGGAUACAGCGGUCAGCCUAGGCGGUCAGUACUGCCCUUUCUAACCCUAAAUGCUAAUAAUUCUCUGACCCUAAGGCAAGGUGUGUAUGGCCUGAGGGAUCUGUUAUGUGAUUUCUUUUCAGAUACGUGUACAGGCCUCCCUCUCCACUCUUAAAAAUGAGACAUUAAAAAAUUGAUACAUAACAAGUGACUGAAAAUAGUGGAAAGUGCCUUCAGAGAGCGUAAGGCGAGCUGUGCCUGCUUGCCCUCAAGCUGCGGGGUAGCCCCCUCACCACUUUUUCGGCCCACGGGGACGUGGCAUAUGACCGUCUCUUACAGGUGCACCGGAAGAAGGGCCAGCUUAUCAAACAGAGUGAACAACAUGAUGAUUUUCACAGCUGUCACGGACUCUUCACCGGUUUCCAGGCAUCCUUGGCGUGUGACCACCAUGGACGCAGCCUAGCACGCUGGGCACUGAGGGCAGCACAUGAAGGGUCACUGAUCAGGCUUAAAGUACAAGAGCUGAUGCAGGUGAUCAGCUUUGCCACACUCCUCCCAGAAAACCUCUGAUCCCCUUGCAACUCAGUAAGGGCAGAAUUCAAGAGCUGUCCCAGAGUCUCUCUGCCCUCCCUGGCGGAAAGUACAAGGCCCGUUAUGUAACUUUCAGCAAGCUCGUUGGCUAAGUUUACAACAUUUGGUAAAACCUCUAAUUUGCAUGUGCUUUCUUUGGAUUUUUAAGUCUGUCCAGUUUUGUCUGGUUUUGGAGCAUCAUCUUUGGAGGGAACGUCAAACAGUUCUUUGGAAAUUCUGACCAGUUCCACCAACCGACUCUGAUGGGUUGGACCUGUACUUUCACACCUACCUUCGUUUUUUGCAAAUAAAAUGCCCUAGUGAGAGCUGUAGGGAUUUAUGAACCCAGCAUGGUGCAGAAUGGGAGACAAAAGCAGAAACGUUGAGAAAAUCACUACGUGUUCACAGUUGCUCUAGGACCUGAUAGAGUGAGAAGGGUUCCAUGAAUCAUGAAUCAUGAGGUAAAAGAUAGUCCCAGGUUCAGCGGCUAACCACAGAAAACUGCAUGUAAACCAGUUAGCCCUUGAGAGGGACACAGACUCCACAUAUGUACAGCAUGCAUUUUUUAACCACUUACCUGGGAACAAGAGAUAGUAAUUGCAAAAAUGAGAUCAUGGAAGUGCUUAACCCCGUGACCAUUUCAGGCGAUGCUGGCAAAGUGCUAACUGCACCAAGAAUAAAAAAUAAAAAUAAAAGUGGGUGAUUUCAUAUCCCAGAUGAAUAUCCAAUUUACUGACUAGCUUAAAAAUAAUUUUUCUUGCCCACUGUAAGUCCAAGAGUAUUUUUAGUGCUACAGCAGUAUAAAAACAGCAACAGAAAACAAGAUUUCUUGUUUUCUUUCAUUCUUCCCUCUCUCCCACCUGACUUGUGCUCACCCUUCCAAUGUCAAAGACAUGUCUGUAGCAUAGAUGUGGGCUGUGUAUGUAAGGUUUAUGGUGAGUCUGUUCUAUAUAAACAUUUUUCAGGUUGAUGAUCAAAGACUUUUGUAAAAUGCAAGGGAUCCAGACAUUUGUCCUUUAUAUUUCGACUGUAGUAUCAAGUUUAUUAGAAAGCUAAUGAGUAGUGAAGUACUGAUACACUAACAAGAAAAAAACACAACUUACUAACAUCAGCAUAGCAGUUGCUAUCCUAAAAUCUCCUUCCCUGACUCCCAUCUGUACAAACCCAGUACAACUUAAAGGAUGACUUGAUUUCUCUUCUUCUUUAAAAAAAAAAAAAAAUUUAAGAUACAAUUGAAUUUUCUAAAGCUUUUUACUUUUUUCAUUUGACAAAAGUUCCCACUUGCAAUAGGCAGUUGUAUGUCACCUACAAAUACUGUUGCAAAAGGAGAUGACCAUGGGUUGGAAAGCUGUAAAUAGGAGUCACAUUGCUAUACAUUGUGAAUAGAAAAGUGGAAAGAAAGUAUCUUAGGAAAAAGAAAAAUGGAUCUAUGAAUAUGGCUUCACUUUUAAUUCCACUUUCAUUUAGACACAGCAGUCCUUUGUUUUGCAAAUAAUUCUACAUGGGAAACUUCGUUACAUACAGUUUACCAUAAGAGAAAAUGGCAAAACACUUAAAAAAUUUUUUAUAUAAAUUUUUGUGCAGAAAGACCAAAUUAUAUUUUUAGGCACUUAUGAAAGAUUUAAAAUAUGAUUGUAUUCUAAAGGUUUUUGUUUGUUUUGGAACCAUACCACAAGAGAAGUUUUCGAAGCAAUUAAUUUCUCGAGGGAAUAUAUAAAAAUAGCUAGGUUUAAAAAAAUUCUAAUAUAAAUACAGGUCGCCUCUUUAGAAGUAGAUUAUUUUGAUAAAGUUCAUUUGUAAGUUAAUGGUUUGAAAGUUAACAUACCUGCUUAGAGAUAGCAAAGCUGAAAAAAAAAUUGCUGAAUUCGGCACAUUAGAACUACAAAAUUGUGAGAAAGACGUUCUUAAAAUACCAUUAAGAGUGCUUAUUUCUUAAGUCAUGAACUCUUCAGUUAUUCCCUGAAGUAGUGCUCUAUAAAUAUUCUUAAAUUUACGUCAAGGGAUUGUUAAAUAAAAAAGCAAUCUAAAAAUGAUAUUUACACGGUGAUAUUUGCGGGAAAAAUGGUAAGUCAAGAUAAAACCAUAUAUCUGUUCAUAUGCAUAAAAUACAUGUGUGAGAGAUUAACAUGCCAGCAUACUCAUUGCUUGGUCCCUCUCUAUUUCUCGUUGUCAGAGUUGAACCCUAAGGGUACUCUCAGUCCAUAGGGAAGCAGAAGCAGGAAUUUAAAGAAGCUGCUGACCCAAGACUAGGAAAGAUUUUGCUUCAGGCUCCAAAUGUCGAGAUGAUUUUUCUCCUUCUAAGACUUGUGAACACGGGUCCAGAGAGGAAGGAGCAGCAUUACAUCGGACCAGACCACAGAAGCAGUGUUCAAUAAACCAUUUCAUAUCCUCGCCACUUGAAAUCUUGUCUACAUUUUUGAAAAAAAAAUCUCCACCCGCUUGCUGUUGAGUCAUGCCUUUUACUUUAAGAAGCAAAAGAGGCAAAUGGUUUUUAAUUGCCCUGCAAAUAUUUACAUCCUAUACAUCCUGUGAUUCAGCAAUUAUACUUAUCAGCUUUCCACCCCCUGCUAAAGUAAACCACAACAUUGUCAUGAGGAAAUCAUGGAAAAAAAAAUACCGUAGCAAGCUCAUUCAGCUUUGCAUGUAGUGCAAGCAGAAAUGCCAUCCCUCACUAGCUUGACCUGCAAAAUUAUUUUCCACCCUCAGGAGCAAUUGGUCUUUCCCCACCGCUGAUGGGCCACCACCGUGGCAGGAUCUAACUGUUCCCUCAGAAAUUCCGGAAAGGUCGUUCUCUUACAAUGCUGUGUCCUGUAAAUACUUGAGCUGUGCCUGUAAUUGCCCUGAACUGCGUUGCCUGCUGUGCUGACUUACGUCCCAGAGUAGUUUCGAAGGUCAGCCUGAGCACCUUGAUAGCUGGUUGUUAUUUGGUAAUGAAGUCAUCAGGAUAAGAAGCUUGGUUCAUAUUUGCAUCUCAGUUAUCGAAGAAAUGCUUCUGGAAGUCUUUCCUAGGAUGAUGACGUCACUUGUUCUGACUCGAGUAUAUAUUUAGAGUAUUAAGUGGUUGUUUUCAGGAAACAUGUAGCAAGCACAGAGUCUCUUGCUCACAAACAGACCUUUCCAGUGAUCUGAGGGGAGGGUCGAUCUCUAUGAAUUCUGUGCCUCAGAGGCUGCUUGGCCUUUUCCCUGGACCCUUGCUCUUGGGAUAGACUGGAUUGAGAAUCUGAAAAUAGCAUCAGUGCCAGGCUGCGUGAUGAACUCUUGCCCUAGGCUCUGGGGGUGCUCCACUCGCACAGCCCCCCAGUGACAUCCUAUGCUAGCUCGCUCCACAGGAAGAGCCUGAAAGAGCAGCAUCGCAUCUUUCCGUGGUGAAGAACAGAUAUGAUGGCAAAGCGGAUGUGGUUAGGAUGGGUGUCCUCGCUAGUGGUGGCCCAGGUCAGAGUGCACACUCCCUGCAGCACAGCCCGCAGAGGGGAGUGGGGGGAACCGGGUGCCAUUCCCAACCACGCUUCCAAGGGCCACUGGCAAGACACCAGGCCAUCAGCACCCCCUCUCGUUGUCUCUUGGGUGAAGAGGGUGGUGCCAUCCUGCCAGCCGACCAUCAAUGCCUCAGGCUUGGCACUGACCCAUCUGGAGCUCUCGUUCCUCCAGGUGGGAGAUACAACACUGAAGGUGCAGAAAAGCCCCGCCAGCUUAGAACUUCAGUAGGAUUCUUUAGGACUGCAUUGCCCGCCGUCUUCUCUCCAGAGAAAGAUCCAUCACUCGGUGGCCUUUUGGUCACAGCCAGCCAGCACUGAGAAGGCCACAUGGUGUCCGCCUCGUUCUUCACACCAUGUGAGAGCUUACUAACUGUCCUGUGUUGGAGAAGAGCUAUUUUCUGAGGCUACGAUAUGAAGUUUUGUCUAUUUGAUGUUAGCAAUAAAUAUUCCCUCAAAGACUAUUCCCAGAUCAAUCUAGACGGUGUCAAAUGCCUGUUAACAAGUGGGCACAGUGGUAGGCCCUGCUCAAACUUCAUCUUCAGUGUUUGCAUUAUUGACACAAAGCAGAUUUUGUCUCUGUUUUACAAAUGAGAAAAGGAAGCUUAGGGGGCCUCAAUAAUUUGCCCACAGUGGGAAUUUCAGAAUUUGAGCCCAGACUCUGCAGCAGUGCCAUCCCCUUUGCACAAAUGGAACGCAGAAUCCUGAGCCACAUGAGUAGCAUUUCAAGGACUCCUAAAGGCCAUAUAGAAGGAAAUCCCUAUUGGAUGGGGAAAGCCUGUGGUGGAUAUUUUUGUCUGUCACUUGACUGGGCCAUGAGGUCUCCAGCCUGGGUGUGUCUGUGACAAUGUGCUGGGAAAAGAUUAUUAGUGUUUGAAUAGGUGGGGUGAACAAAGCCGCAGGCCAUCCGCAGCAUGGAUGGGGACCAUCUAAUUAGUUUGGGGACUGAAUGUGACAAAAAGGCAGAGGAAGGUUCAAACUACUCUGUGCCUGACUUCUGAGCUGGGACCUAGGUCUCUUGCCCUUGGAGGUCCUGGUUCUCAGGUCUUUGGACUUGGACUGGAGCUACCCCUGGCUCACCUGGGUCUUUUGCUUGCACAUCUAGGAUCAUAGAACUCAGCCUCCAUAAUCACAUGAGCCAAUACCUUACAAUAAGUCUUUCUCUCUAUAUAUAGAAUAUAUGUUUUUCUAUUGGUUCUGGUUCUCUGGAGAACUCUGAGAGUUACAGUUUUAAUACUUUCAUAUAUGUGAGACACAUGAACUACAUGUAAAGCCAACUAAAUUUUAAUCUCCUUUAAAGCAGUGACUGUAGUUUUAUCUUCUUUGUCAUAUGGCUGGGCAUAGUUUAGAGGCAUGCCAGGUUCUUUUACAUUUGUCUUUUUUUUAAAGAUUUUAUUUAUUCAUGAAAGAGAGAGAGAAAGAGACAGAGGCAGACACAGGCAGAGGGAGAAGCAGGCUCCAUGCAGGGACCCCAAUGCAAGACUCAAUCCUGGGACUCUGGGAUCAUGCCCUGAGCCAAAGGCAAAUGCUCAACUGCUGAUCCGCCUGGGCAUCCCUACAUUUGUCUUAAAUGGAAAGAUGAACACAAAAUGGCCCUGCCCCCGGGUUUUGGUCUCCUUCACUACCUUUUAAGUGCUUUAAGAAGGAUACUGUUUUCUAAGAAAGCAGAGACACAUGGUGACUUCCACUGGAUCCUACACUACUUGGGGUUCUAUGGAAGGUAGGGACCCAGUCUUUCAGAUCUUUGGUCAUCUACAAUUCCUAGUACAAUGAUCUAGACGAAAUGAAGGCCUGCCCCCAAAGAAGCUGGAUUUCAAGACAUACAGAGUUUUCUUCUGUGCCUUUUAGCUAGUAGGAAGUUGUUUAAUUUCCCAGAGGUGGAGAGAAGUAUCUUUAUUUACCCUUUAUGUCCACUUCCCUUUUACUUAGAUGAACAAAGCCUUGUGCUCUGAAGGAUCAAGCAAUCCCUUGAUCUAGCAGAUCAAGGAUCUGCUCAGAAAGAGAAGCUCAGGCAGGAGAACAUUUAGCCUUCAGUUUAAGGAAUGGAUCUUGGAAGAUUCAAGCACCCAGUGGAGAGAAAGGGAGCUUGGGUGGGCUCUGACACUGAGCUGACUGUGCUGAUGAGGACGCAAUUUGAGCAGAACACAGAGUGACUGGAUGCACCAGAUUCCAUCAUUUUUACCUCAGUGGACUUUUGUGAGGCAGAUCACAGGGUGUGCAAUUUGGAGCAAUAACAUUUCUGCUACACUACGAGGGUAGGGUCACUGCUGCCUUGUUGGCACCUGAGUUACUAGAUCUCAGUACCAAGACUGGCAUGUGAUGCUUACUUAAUAAAGUUCAUGUAGGUGAAUAGAUAAAUGAGUAGAUAAAUGUUGGGUAGGGACUUUAAUGUGGAAGAGCUAGAAAGGUCCAGAGUGGAAUCCAGAAAAGGAAACGUCAGCCAACUAUUCCUGACAGCUUCUGCUACACUGUCUACUAUAGCAGCCUUCAGCCACACAAGGCUAUUCACAUUUAAUUAAUGAAAUCUAAAUAAAAUUAGAAAUUCUGGUUUUCAGUCUCACUAGCCAUAUUUCAAACAUGCAAUAGCCACAUGUCUCUAGUGGCUACAUAAGGUACAGCAAAAAUACUGAAUAUUGCCAUUAAUACUGACAGUUGUAUUGGGCUGCGCUUCUCUAGGACAUUUAAGGAAAAAAGGCAAAGGAUGUUUUUAAGGUUUUUCUCAUUACAGUAUCCAUCCUAGCUCACAAGUAAGAAUGUGAGCAGGGCCCCAGGGCUUUAAGAGAAUUCUAGAAUAUAAUAUGCAUUUGGUUGAGAAUAUCAUAUGUUGUUUUAUGACAGCAAAAAACAAAAAAUGUUUUAUGGAAAGCUAUAGAGUAGGAGGGGAUCCUCAACAUUUCCUCGGUUCAGUCCAGUCUCUGCUUAUCGGUGUUAGGUUCUGGGGAUUCUGAACUCAUCUUUUUGGGACUCUCAGGACUGGGAACAAAUUUUUACAUUAAAAAGAAUGUGAGGGGCAGCCCAGGUGGCUCAGCAGU